rnacentral:rRNA from 1 species
GACGAACGCUGGCGGCGUGCUUAACACAUGCAAGUCGAACGGAAAGGCCCUGCUUUUGUGGGGUGCUCGAGUGGCGAACGGGUGAGUAACACGUGAGUAACCUGCCCUUGACUUUGGGAUAACUUCAGGAAACUGGGGCUAAUACCGGAUAGGAGCUCCUGCUGCAUGGUGGGGGUUGGAAAGUUUCGGCGGUUGGGGAUGGACUCGCGGCUUAUCAGCUUGUUGGUGGGGUAGUGGCUUACCAAGGCUUUGACGGGUAGCCGGCCUGAGAGGGUAACCGGCCACGUUGGGACUGGGAUACGGCCCAGACUGCUACGGGGGGCAGCGGUGGGGAGUAUUGCACAAGGGGCGGAAGCCUGAUGCAAGAACGCCGCGUGCGGGAUGACGGCCUUCGGGUUGGAAACCGCUUUCGCCUGUGACGAAGCGUGAGUGACGGUAAUGGGUAAAGAAGCACCGGCUAACUACGUG